rnacentral:piRNA from 1 species
UAGAGGGCUCUGUGUUCAUAGGUAGGC